GUUUUUAUAGUUUAAAUAAAACAUUAAUUUUGUAAAUUAAAAAUAAUUUUACAUUUAAAAACU
rnacentral:tRNA from 1 species